GCACACCUGUGCGGACUGUAAUUGUUUGACUCCGGGUUUUGAAUCACCCAGAGUAACAACUUGGGGAAAUGAAUUUUAAGUUUGGCUGAAGGGCAGACGGAUUAUUUUCGUUACAGGUCGACAUAAACUUCUCUGAGUGAUCUGGAAACGUCUUCAAAAAGGUGCUUGCAGCGAAUAACUGGUUCUUGGAGCUUGGAGCAGACUUUUUCAGACUUGUCAAGGACGACUUUCAGCUCUGGCCAGCAAUUCUGUGGAGUCCUUUUUAAAACUGGUGGGACUGAUGGUCUGAAUUGGACAACUCAGUGACUCUAUAAUCAAGCACCUCAAUCAAUGUUUGUUCUUUCCAGUGGACCUUCUUUUUGUGCCUUUGGCGUCUGACAUGCCCAGAAGAAUCUUUAUUUCCAUCCGUCACUUCAUUUUGACUUGUGGCAAGUGUUUGAAUCUGGUUUAACUCUACAUCAACAGUUUUGCCAUUGGAUCCUGCACAACACGUUCGAAAGUAUACUGUUUGUAAAAUAAGUAUGAGCUUUCA